UAGGAGAGAGUUUGUAAGUCGCUCUGGAUAAGAGCGUCUGCUAAAUGACUUAAA
rfam:Salmo salar isolate Sally breed double haploid chromosome ssa14, whole genome shotgun sequence.